AGGAAAUAGAUACCCUGGUAGUCCACGCCCUAAACGAUGUCGACUGGUUGUUGGGGGUUUGACACUCUCAGUAAACGAAAGCUAAACGCGUGAAGUCGACCGCCUGGGGAGUACGGCCGCAAGGUUAAAACUCAAAGGAAUUGACGGGGACCCGCACAAGCGGUGGAUUAUGUGGAUUAAUUCGAUGCAACGCGAAAAACCUUACCUACCCUUGACAUGUCCGGAAGGCUGCUGAAAGGCGGCUGUGCCCGAAAGGGAACUGGAACACAGGUGCUGCAUGGCUGUCGUCAGCUCGUGUCGUGAGAUGUUGGGUUAAGUCCCGCAACGAGCGCAACCCUUGUCAUUAGUUGCUACCCGCAAGGGAGCACUCUAAUGAGACUGCCGGUGACAAACCGGAGGAAGGUGGGGAUGACGUCAAGUCCUCAUGGCCCUUAUGGGUAGGGCUUCACACGUAAUACAAUGGCGCGUACAGAGGGUUGCCAAGGAGCGAUCUGGAGCCAAUCCCGUAAAGCGCGUCGUAGUCCGGAUUGCAGUCUGCAACUCG
rnacentral:rRNA from 1 species